ACAAAAGUCUGAAGAAUUGUUCUGACCCAAGAUGUCACAUAUCCAUCUUCUCCAGAGAUGCUGCCUGACCCAAUGAGUUACUCCAGCACUUUGUGAAACGUCACCUGUCCAUUCCU